GAGUUUGAUCCUGGCUCAGAUUGAACGCUGGCGGCAUGCCUUACACAUGCAAGUCGAACGGCAGCACGGGAGCUUGCUCCUGGUGGCGAGUGGCGAACGGGUGAGUAAUGCAUCGGAACGUAUCCUGGAGUGGGGGAUAACGUAGCGAAAGUUACGCUAAUACCGCAUAUUCUGUGAGCAGGAAAGCGGGGGACCUUCGGGCCUCGCGCUCUUGGAGCGGCCGAUGUCGGAUUAGCUAGUUGGUGAGGUAAAGGCUCACCAAGGCGACGAUCCGUAGCAGGUCUGAGAGGAUGAUCUGCCACACUGGAACUGAGACACGGUCCAGACUCCUACGGGAGGCAGCAGUGGGGAAUUUUGGACAAUGGGGGCAACCCUGAUCCAGCCAUGCCGCGUGAGUGAAGAAGGCCUUCGGUUGUCAGACUCUUUCGUCGAGGGAAGAAAUUAGCACCGGAC
rnacentral:rRNA from 1 species